CACCCACCCACCUCCAACCAGCAGGAUGCGGCUGUGGAAGGCGGUGGUGGUGACUUUGGCCUUCAUGAGUGUGGACAUCUGCGUGACCACGGCCAUCUAUGUCUUCAGCCACCUAGACCGCAGCCUCCUGGAGGACAUCCGCCACUUCAACAUCUUUGACUCGGUGCUGGAUCUCUGGGCAGCCUGCCUGUACCGCAGCUGCCUGCUGCUGGGAGCCACCAUUGGUGUGGCCAAGAACAGUGCGCUGGGGCCCCGGCGGCUGCGGGCCUCGUGGCUGGUCAUCACCCUCGUGUGCCUCUUCGUGGGCAUCUAUGCCAUGGUGAAGCUGCUGCUCUUCUCAGAGGUGCGCAGGCCCAUCCGGGACCCCUGGUUCUGGGCCCUGUUCGUGUGGACGUACAUAUCACUCGGCGCAUCCUUCCUGCUCUGGUGGCUGCUGUCCACCGUGCGGCCAGGCACCCAGGCCCUGGAGCCAGGGGCAGCCACCGAGGCUGAGGGCUUCCCUGGGAGCGGCCGGCCACCGCCCGAGCAGGCGUCUGGGGCCACGCUGCAGAAGCUGCUCUCCUACACCAAGCCCGACGUGGCCUUCCUCGUGGCCGCCUCCUUCUUCCUCAUCGUGGCAGCUCUGGGAGAGACCUUCCUGCCCUACUACACGGGCCGCGCCAUUGAUGGCAUCGUCAUCCAGAAAAGCAUGGAUCAGUUCAGCACGGCUGUCGUCAUCGUGUGCCUGCUGGCCAUUGGCAGCUCAUUUGCCGCAGGUAUUCGGGGCGGCAUUUUUACCCUCAUAUUUGCCAGACUGAACAUUCGCCUUCGAAACUGUCUCUUCCGCUCACUGGUGUCCCAGGAGACAAGCUUCUUUGAUGAGAAUCGCACAGGGGACCUCAUCUCCCGCCUGACCUCGGACACCACCAUGGUCAGCGACCUGGUCUCCCAGAACAUCAAUGUCUUCCUGCGGAACACAGUCAAGGUCACGGGCGUGGUGGUCUUCAUGUUCAGCCUCUCAUGGCAGCUCUCCUUGGUCACCUUCAUGGGCUUCCCCAUCAUCAUGAUGGUGUCCAACAUCUACGGCAAGUACUACAAGAGGCUCUCCAAAGAGGUCCAGAAUGCCCUGGCCAGAGCGAGCAACACGGCGGAGGAGACCAUCAGUGCCAUGAAGACUGUCCGGAGCUUCGCCAAUGAGGAGGAGGAGGCAGAGGUGUACCUGCGGAAGCUGCAGCAGGUGUACAAGCUGAACAGGAAGGAGGCAGCUGCCUACAUGUACUACGUCUGGGGCAGCGGGCUCACACUGCUGGUGGUCCAGGUCAGCAUCCUCUACUACGGGGGCCACCUUGUCAUCUCGGGCCAGAUGACCAGCGGCAACCUCAUCGCCUUCAUCAUCUACGAGUUUGUCCUGGGAGAUUGUAUGGAGUCCGUGGGCUCCGUCUACAGUGGCCUGAUGCAGGGAGUGGGGGCUGCUGAGAAGGUGUUCGAGUUCAUCGACCGGCAGCCGACCAUGGUGCACGAUGGCAGCUUGGCCCCCGACCACCUGGAGGGCCGGGUGGACUUUGAGAAUGUGACCUUCACCUACCGCACUCGGCCCCACACCCAGGUCCUGCAGAAUGUCUCCUUCAGCCUGUCCCCCGGCAAGGUGACGGCCCUGGUGGGGCCCUCGGGCAGUGGGAAGAGCUCCUGCGUCAACAUCCUGGAGAACUUCUACCCCCUGGAGGGGGGCCGGGUGCUGCUGGACGGCAAGCCCAUCAGCGCCUACGACCACAAGUACUUGCACCGUGUGGUAUGUGCACGGGCCUGGGCCACACUCCUCCGCCCUUUCUGCAUCUAACCGUGUUUCUUGUGAGCUGUAACAGGUGUGGAAGAGGGCACUAGAGAUAAAUGGACAGUUCAAAGAAUUAUCACCAAUUACAAUGCCCUCCUAGAGAAACAGAACAUUCUUGUCCAGACGUGGUGGCUCACACCUGUAAUCCCAGCACUUUGGGAGGCCAAGGAGGGUGGACUGCUUGAGCUCAGGAGUUCAAGACCAGCAUGGCCAACAUGGCGAAACCCCAUCUCUACUAAAAAUACAAAAAUUAGCCGGGUGUGGUGGCACAUGCCUGUAAUCUCAGCUCCUCAGGAGGCUGAGGCACGAGAAUCACUUGAACCCGGGAGGUAGAGGUUGCAGUGAGCCGAGAUUGGGCCACUGCACUGCAGCCUGGGCAACAGAAUAAGACUCUGUCUCAUGAAAAAAAAGAAAUAGAACAUUCUGGCACUCCAGAAGCCUCCUACCCCCCGCCAUGUGUCCCUUCUCUUUCCCCAAGAAGUAAUGUGUUGACUUCUAGA
rnacentral:sRNA from 1 species